AUGGCUGUCGUCAGCUCGUGUCGUGAGAUGUUGGGUUAAGUCCCGCAACGAGCGCAACCCUUACUUUUAGUUGCCAUCAUUUAGUUGGGCACUCUGAAAGAACUGCCAGUGAUAAGCUGGAGGAAGGUGGGGAUGACGUCAAGUCCUCAUGGCCCUUAUGUGUUGGGCUACACACGUGCUACAAUGGUAUCUACAACAGGAAGCAAGAUGGCAACAUUUAGCAAAUCCUAAAAAGAUAUCUCAGUUCGGAUUGCACUCUGCAACUCGAGUGCAUGAAGCUGGAAUUACUAGUAAUCGUGGAUCAGCGUGCCACGGUGAAUACGUUCCCGGGUCUUGUACACACCGCCCGUCACACCAUGGGAGUUGGUUCUACCUUAAGGCAAAGUUUAAAACCUUUGACCACGGUAUAGUCAGCGACUGGGGUGAAGUCGUAACAAGGUAGCCGUAGGGGAACCUGCGGCUGGAUUACCUCCUUUCUAAGGAUGAAUAAAAGUAAAAUUUUAUUCUAAAUAAUAUACAGGCAAUGUUGACCGUCCUCAUUUCUCUUCUUAAAGCAGUGUUUCUCUUGCAUGUGGGCCGGUAGCUCAGUUGGUUAGAGCACACCCUUGAUAAGGGUGGGGUCGAAAGUUCGAGUCUUUCUCGGCCCACCAAAUUUAAAUGGGGGAUUAGCUCAGCUGGGAGAGCGCCUGAUUUGCAUUCAGGAGGUCAGCGGUUCGAUCCCGCUAUCCUCCACCAGAAGCACUUAGUUAUUAAAAUUGUAAAUAAAAAUAAUUAUUAUCAAUAUCUAUAUCCGAACAUUAAUUUUUUAAUUAAUGUUCAAAUAAAAAUUUGAAUUUUACACAGAAAAUUUUUUUCUGUGCAUAAAUCAAGCGUUUAAGGGCGUUUGGCGGAUGCCUUGGCACUGAAAGACGAUGAAGGACGUGGUAUACUGCGAUAAGUUUCGGGGAGCUGUAUGCAGGCUUUGAUCCGAAAAUUUCCGAAUGGGGAAACCCGG
rnacentral:sRNA from 1 species